rnacentral:rRNA from 1 species
GAUGAACGCUGGCGGCGUGCCUAAUACAUGCAAGUCGAGCGAACGGACGAGGAGCUUGCUUCUCUGAUGUUAGCCGCGGACGGGUGAAUAACACGUGGAUAACCUACCUAUAAGACUGGUAUAACUUGGGGAAACCGGAGCUAAUACCGGAUAAUAUUUUGAACCGCAUGGUUCAAAAGUGAAAGACGGUCUUUCUGGCACUUAUCGAUGGAUCUGCGCUGCAUUAGCUAGUUGGUAAGGUAACGGCUUACCAAGGCAAGGAUGCAUAGACGACCUGAGAGGGUGAUAGGCCACACUGGAACUGAGACACGGUCCAGACGCCUACGGGAGGCAGCAGUAGGGAAUCUUACGCAAUGGGCGAGAGCCUGACGGAGCAACGCCGCGUGAGUGAUGAAGGUCUUCGGAUCGUAAAACUCUGUUAUUAGGGAAGAACAUAUGUGUAAGUAACUGUGCACAUCUUGACGGUACCUAAUCAGAAAGCCACGGCUAACUACGUG